rnacentral:tRNA from 1 species
GGGGUUGUGGCUCAGUGGUAGAGCGCUUGCCUAGCAUGUGAGAAGCUCUGGGUCUGAUUCUCAGCACCA